CCUUCGAUAGCUCAGUUGGUAGAGCGGUGGACUGUAGCGAGUGUAAGUGAGCAGUAAUGAUCCGCUCUCAAGAAAGUAAUCCAUAGGUCACUGGUUCAAAUCCGGUUCGAAGGA
rnacentral:tRNA from 1 species